UUCAAGUAAUCCAGGAUAGGUUGGUUUAUUACCAGAGAGCCUAUCCUCGACUACUUGGGUU
rnacentral:pre_miRNA from 1 species